CCUACGGGAGGCAGCAGUGGGGAAUAUUGCACAAUGGGCGCAAGCCUGAUGCAGCCAUGCCGCGUGUGUGAAGAAGGCCUUCGGGUUGUAAAGCACUUUCAGCGGGGAGGAAGGCGUUAAGGUUAAUAACCUUGGCGAUUGACGUUACCCGCAGAAGAAGCACCGGCUAACUCCGUGCCAGCAGCCGCGGUAAUACGGAGGGUGCAAGCGUUAAUCGGAAUUACUGGGCGUAAAGCGCACGCAGGCGGUCUGUCAAGUCGGAUGUGAAAUCCCCGGGCUCAACCUGGGAACUGCAUUCGAAACUGGCAGGCUAGCGUCUUGUAGAGGGGGGUAGAAUUCCAGGUGUAGCGGUGAAAUGCGUAGAGAUCUGGAGGAAUACCGGUGGCGAAGGCGGCCCCCUGGACAAAGACUGACGCUCAGGUGCGAAAGCGUGGGGAGCAAACAGGAUUAGAUACCCGGGUAGUC
rnacentral:rRNA from 1 species